CUUGGAUGAAAUUCCUCGCGAACCUCCAAUGGAAGGAAUUGAUGGACUUCAGGGACCUCAGGGACCUUUGGGACCUCAGGGACCUCUGGGACCUCAGGGACCUCAGGGACCCCAGGGACCUCAGCCAGGCGCUGGGUCUGAGGCAACUGGUAUGUCUCCUACGCAAGGGACUACUCAAAACGAAGCUAUGGGGGCAGCCUCGAGAUUCACUACAAGAACGACCACGCAGUAUCGGCGUCGACGCACCCCCGCAGUCCGAUUGACGUUUGAAGAGGACUGUGACUACCUCGCUUAUUAUUGCUUAAAAGCUUACGACACCGGACAAGUUUGUGGAAGGACAUUGUACUACCAAACCCUGAACUUUAAGAACUAUUGCAUGCUAGACUUCGUGAACUGCAUGGAGCGAU